rnacentral:lncRNA from 1 species
GAUACUGCUGGAGCAUAGACUCCCGUGUCUCCCACGUGCACUCUUCUAGGUUAUGGUGGUUCCACAACACUUUCACCAUCGGAAUCUCCUUGUUCCUUAGCUGUCUGAUCUGUGUGUCCAGAAUCCGUACUGGCUGCUCUACAUAAGUGAGAUCCCCUAGAAUCUCCACAUCAGGCUCACUAAUAACCUGAUCCGGAUCUGACACAAAUUUCCGUAGCAUAGAAACAUGAAACACCGGG